AAUAAAAAUUAUGCAAAACUAGUUAAUUUAAAAUUCAGAAAUAAAAGUCCCCCACCGUUUCCAAAGAGUUGCCUUCCUAUAAAAUGCAGAAAAAAACAUCUAAAAAUGUUUUAAGUUCUUUUGAUUGCAUUCACAAAUGUAUCUUUUCAUAGUUAUUACCAAAGAGUUCCCUUCUUCUUUAUGAAUUAUUGAUGAAAAAUACCGGAAUACGGUUUUUCGUCAGUAUGUUCAAUAAAGUGUAAUUAAAAUUUUUAUACCAUUCCCUGGUGUGAAAACAAAAAAAAACAUCUAAUAAUUUGAUUAAGAAAAACUUGAAGAUGCUAUCGCAAGUGAAAAACAUUAAUUCUAUGAAGAUGCUUUGUCCGCAUGCAUUUUUUCAGAGCGUUGGCCUUUAAUAAAUUAUGAUGUAACUAAAUACGGCUAUAAUUACGCAACAGUCGUGACUCCAGGUGCUUAUUUUGAAUAGAAAUGAUACUGCACUAGUCCUAAACUUACUGUUACAGUGGUUGUGCAAGGAACAUCGAGAUUAUAAUGCUGCCAAUAUUCUCAGGGAUUGCCGCUGUGAUCCUAAUGUUUUAUAUUGGAUCCUCUCUGACAGAUGAAUCGGA
rnacentral:lncRNA from 1 species